AAGUCACCUGGAUGAAUCUCCAGAGAAUUAUGCUGAGUGAAAAGAGCCAAGCCCAAAGAUGACCUACUGUUCGAUUCCAUUUAUAUAACGUUCGUGAAAUGCUCUGCCUAUGCUGGACUUGAAGCUUUCUGUCUGUCAAAAAAUAAAAGAAGAUGGAAGGAAGGAUGUACAGAAGGAAGAAAAAAAAAAGAAAGAACCUGUGACUAUGAAGCAACACCCAAAGCCACUGUCAGAUGUCAUGGAGAUGAGACCUCACAAGAAGGCCAGAAAACAACAGACUAACUCCGGAUAUGACAAACUCUUUAUAAAUACUUAUAAGUACUGUUGGCUACAAUAGUUCUAAAGCCUUAACAAAUGAUGUUGAAGCAAAAUGAAUAAUGAUUAUUCCUAU
rnacentral:lncRNA from 10 species